GGCUUGCUUAAAGGGGCCGUAGCCUGUUUGAUAAAUCUCUUGUGAAAUCGUCGGACUUAACCUGACGGCUUGCAGGAGACACUGUCUGACUUGAGACCGGAAGGGGUGUGAAGUAUGGUGCGGGGAACGGUAAAAUGUGAUAAUCCGCGCUAGACUACCAAUGGCGAAGGCAUCACACCAGGACGGAUCUGACGGUGAGGGACGAAAGCUAGGGGAGCGAACCGGAUUAGAUACCCGAGUAGUCCUAGCUGUAAACGCUGUGAGCAAGGUGUUGCAUAUUCCUCGGGAGUAUGCAGUGUCGAAACGAAGGUGAUAAGCUCACCACCUGGGAAGUACGGUCGCAAGACUGAAACUUUAAGGAAUUGGCGGGGAAGCACCACAAGGGGUGCGGCGUGCGGUUUAAUCCAACUCAACACGGAAAAUCUUACUAGAAGCGACGGCAGGAUGAAGGUCAGUCUGAAGGGCUUACCCAACAAGCCGAGAGGUGGUGCAUGGCCGUCGUCAGCUCGUGCUGUAAGGUGUCCUCUUAAGUGAGGUAACGAGCGAGACCUGUAUCUACAAUUGCUAACAGCCAUUAUUGGGACUGAGCACAUCGUAGAGACUGCCUGGGAAACCAGGAGGAAGGUGCAGGCUACGGUAGGUCCGCAUGCCCCUAAAAGC
rnacentral:rRNA from 1 species